rnacentral:rRNA from 1 species
GACGAACGCUGGCGGCGUGCCUAACACAUGCAAGUCGAGCGAGUUGAUUCUCUUCGGAGAUGAAGCUAGCGGCGGACGGGUGAGUAACACGUGGGCAACCUGCCUCAUAGAGGGGAAUAGCCUCCCGAAAGGGAGAUUAAUACCGCAUAAGAUUGUAGCUUCGCAUGAAGUAGCAAUUAAAGGAGUAAUCCGCUAUGAGAUGGGCCCGCGGCGCAUUAGCUAGUUGGUGAGGUAACGGCUCACCAAGGCGACGAUGCGUAGCCGACCUGAGAGGGUGAUCGGCCACAUUGGGACUGAGACACGGCCCAGACUCCUACGGGAGGCAGCAGUGGGGAAUAUUGCACAAUGGGGGAAACCCUGAUGCAGCAACGCCGCGUGAGUGAUGACGGCCUUCGGGUUGUAAAGCUCUGUCUUCAGGGACGAUAAUGACGGUACCUGAGGAGGAAGCCACGGCUAACUACGUGCCAGCCGCCGCAGUAAUAC